rnacentral:rRNA from 1 species
CAAGGAAUUUUCCCCAAUGGGCGCAAGCCUGAGGGAGCAACGCCGCGUGGGGGAGGACGCCCUUCGGGGUGUAAACCCCUUUUCUCGGGGACGAAGCACUGACGGUACCCGAGGAAGAAGGCCCGGCUAACUACGUGCCAGCAGCCGCGGUAAUACGUAGGGGCCGAGCGUUGUCCGGAGUUACUGGGCGUAAAGCGCGCGCAGGCGGUCUUCUAAGCCCGGCGUGAAAGCCCCCGGCUCAACCGGGGAGGGUCGUCGGGGACUGGGAGACUUGAGGACGGCAGGGGCUGGUGGAAUCCCCGGUGUAGUGGUGAAAUGCGUAGAGAUCGGGGGGAACACCCGUGGCGAAGGCGGCCAGCUGGGCCGGACCUGACGCUGAGGCGCGAAGGCGUGGGGAGCGAACGGGAUUAGAUACCCCGGUAGUCCACGCAGUAAACGAUGCCGACUGGGCGUGGGGGGACUUGACCCCCUCGUGCCGGAGCCAACGCGGGAAGUCGGCCGCCUGGGGAGUACGGCCGCAAGGCUAAAAACUCAAAAUAAAUUGACGGGGGAGAGUCUGU